ACAAUAUUAAUAUCAAUAAAAGAAUCACGUUCAAUUUUUGCAUCACUUACAAUAGCUUUUGGAAUUUUCAAAGCAAAGCUAUUACCCCAUU
rnacentral:tRNA from 1 species